rnacentral:lncRNA from 1 species
UGAGCGGCCAGAUGGGUGUCCUCAACUGCAUUUUACAGAAGACACAGCUGAAACCCAAUCACCUGCCCAAGGUCAAACUCUGAGAAGGUGGUGAGUCCCCGAAUCCUCGUGGGAUGUGCUGCCACCAGCAUGAGCUGCUUUAUGAAAUCGACGCACCGACACUCAGAUUCUGAGGUUCCAACUCAAAUGAGAUGGGCUCACAAAGCACAAGAUGGCCUCCCAUAUGAGAUCAGAUGUCGCCCUCAUUGAGGGAAAGGAAUGUGCUUACAACGCAGCAGACCCUCAAUGUCGUUGAACGUGUGAAUACUGCUGGAUUUUUCCGACACUGGCUUAUCUUGGAGUCAGAUCCCUCCUGAGGAAGGUUCAUGCUUCUGGGACUCAGGCCAGUUUGGGGUUCCUCUACUUCUCCAUCACCUGUGUUCUCCUCUGUAUGUGGCAUUACCCUGGUAAUUAAAGGGAGAAGUUCGCCGGGUGGAGCAAGAGAAGGGGAAGCAGAUAGCAAGCAAGACGGUAGGAGCAAGCAUAUCAGCCACAAAACACAAUGAAAUGAGAGCUAGUUUAUCCAGUUGUGAUUCCACUACGGUCCAUCACCGCCAGAGCUGAGUAGGACUCUGAAAUGGUGAGAUUUAUUCCUAAUCCCUUCUAACUUUCUCUGUAAGCCACAGCCUUCGUAUCACCCCUUGUUUGCCCAAGAAACAUCUCC